GAUGAAGAACGCAGCGAAAUGCGAUAAGUAAUGUGAAUUGCAGAAUUCAGUGAAUCAUCGAAUCUUUGAACGCACAUUGCGCCCGCCAGUAUUCUGGCGGGCAUGCCUGUUCGAGCGUCAUUACAACCCUCAGGCCCCCGGGCCUGGCGUUGGGGAUCGGCGGAAGCCCCCUGCGGGCACAACGCCGUCCCCCAAAUACAGUGGCGGUCCCGCCGCAGCUUUCAUUGCGUAGUAGCUAACACCUCGCAACUGGAGAGCGGCGCGGCCACGCCGUAAAACACCCAACUUCUGAAUGUUGACCUCGAAUCAGGUAGGAAUACCCGCUGAACUUAAGCAUAUCAAUAAGCGGAGGA
rnacentral:misc_RNA from 1 species